CAAACCUGUUGGUAAGCAACCGCCAGACCACAUUCCAAACAAUCAGAUAAUUAUUUACAUUUCUUUUCUGAGGCUUCUUAUCUUCUCAGGAGAAAAAUUCUGGGCAAAGAUUUUUCAAAAAAUAUCACAGUGACAGAACACGAGUGUACUUUUAGCUCAGGGUAGGUGAGAGGCUGUGAGGGGCAGCAAAGGAGACACAACACAACCCAGCAGCAGAGGCCGGGUCAUUGUGGGCUAAUGGAAGGUGCUCACUGGCCUCCGACCCCAUGAAAUCCCAAUUUUGCCCAUUCAAUUCAGGCAGUUUUGACCCCACCGUUCACGGGUUUUCUCCCCGAGAUGGAGGGGGAAGCUCUGGCCCCGCUGCCACGAGAGGGCUCUGCUCUGUCAGCAAGGCAGAGCCGAGUUCCUCCUCCAGCCCCAUCCAAUCCAGGAUUCGUCAUUUCGGGCACGAGCAGGAUCUUCAGGUCCGGGUUUUUCUGAGGCAAAGCUCUGAAAUGCCACAAAUGUGUGGCAUCCAACGAGAACGACUGCAACCAGCAGGGAUCCCACAGCUGCCCCCAGUACGCCGACGCCUGCUCCACCAUCACUGCACCCAGUGAGCGCCUUGGCUGGGGGGCCUGGGGGCUCCAGAGGGAAAGGGGGGAGGACCAGAGGGUCUUGGAGGGGACCAGAGGGGCUGAGGAGCAGAGGGCGAGGAGAACCAGGGGGACCUGAGGCGGGAGCAGGAGGUGACUUCUACUUGUGGGGAGGAGAGAGAUGCUUUAAUUCCGCCCAGGUACCGGACUGAGAGGUUCUUCCUCUUGUGCCCGUGAAACCCGCGGAUCCCGGCAGUGCCUGACCCUCUGUCGCCUUGCCUUUCCUUGCAGACAGCAUCAUUAAAUCCUGCUCCUACAAGUCCUUCUGUGACCAGGCGCGCCGCGGCGGCUCCGGCGGGGCCACCGUGCGCUGCUGCUUCAGCGACGACUGCAACGGGCCGGCUCGGGGCUCCCGCAACGGCGGGGGGACCACCCUGCCACCCCCGGCGGGCCUGCUGGCCACGGUGCUGGCCGGGACACUGCUG
rnacentral:lncRNA from 1 species